UGGCACUUGCCUGCCCAGCCUGAGAUGCUGUAUGAGGGCGGUGAGGUGGGCGUCCCCAACCCGGAGGCAGGGACAGGGAGGGAUGGGAUAAUUGGCGUGCUUGCGUGGGCUCCUAAUCUCUGGAUCUCGGGCCUUAUGGCUAAACACCUUAUCCUCACUGCACCCCUCUGAUGGGCCUGCCGAGCAGGUGGGGCAAAGAUGUUGGUGAGAUGAAAACACCCGCACAGUGGGGCAGUGUCCUUCCUGCUUCUUUCUGGGAUUCAUUUUAUCUCUGAAAUAGGAGGCACUUAAGCUCAUGCUGGCUUUACAUACUAGAGAGGUUAUGUAAAUUAACGGGAGAGUUUACAGAGGGCUUUGAUCUCUUUAUUUAUUGUUUCAAUUAAAGACCAGUGUGAUAGUACAGAGGGCUUUGAUUUCAGAAGAAAAGAGCCAUGUAAGGGUUUGUUUGCCCAUUUUACAGAUAAGGAAAGUUGAGUCCCAAAACGAACAUCUGGCCUCCAGCUAUUUGGCAAAGUUGGGAGUAAGGUCCUGAGCACUCCUCAUUUGGGACAUGUUUGUCUGGCACAUGCCAGCAGUGCCUUCUGAAAUGGGAGCCCCAUGAGCAGAGGAGGUAGCAGCUUGGUGGAGGCCUCCGGUCUCCUUCCCAGACUCAGCCUCCGUGUAGGGGGGACUCCUGGCCCGUUAGAAGCUUGACAUCGUGGCAGGCACUGUUUUCACAUGAAUCUCCCCUGCCGAGCUGGCCAGAGCUUGGGCACUCGUCUCAUGAGCUGUGGCCGUGACGUUCCGCCUCUUGGUCUUGACCGUAUGUGACGCUGCCUCCCUCUGUGAUGUGCAUUGUCACGUCACUGCAAAUCUGAAGCCUAAAUCCUGGCAUGAAGACCCCUGUCUUGUGCACCUGGGUGUCACCUGUCCCGCCGUGCCCACACAGAGCCAAGCCUUAGGAAGUGCCCUUGGGGUCCUGGGGGGGCUCACCCUAUAGAAAAAACACUGCCUGCGUUCUCCUCCUGCUUCUGCGGUGACUGGGUGACAAGGCCCUUCCUCCCCUGGGGUCUUUGCUUUUCCUCUGUCAGAUGGGGUUGCCUCCCCCUGAGUUCCCCCAGAGUGUUGGGGAAAGGGGAAAAUAAGAUAAUAGAUGCCAAACUAGUCAGACCCAGGUAGCCUAGUUAAAAUGAAAACUUCAUUAAAAAUUAAGAAUUGGCUGGGUGCGGUGGCUCACGCCUGUAAUCCCAGCACUUUGGGAGGCCGAGGUGGGUGGAUCACCAGGUCAGGAGAUCGAGACCAUUCUGGCUAGCACGGUGAAACCCCGUGUCUACUAAAAAUAUAAAAAAAUUAGCCGGGCGUGGUGGUGGCUCCUGUAGUCCCAGCUACUCGGGAGGCUGAGGCAGGAGAAUGGCGUCAACCCAGGAAGGCGGAGCUUGCAGUGAGCCAAGAUCGCGCCAUUGCACCCCAGCCUGGGCGACAGAGCCAGACUCCGUCUCAAAAAAAAAAAAAAAAAAUUAAGAAUCGGCCGGGCGUGGUCGCUCACGCCUGUAAUCCCAGCACUUUGGGAGGCUGAGGCAGGUGGAUCAUUUGAGGUCAGGAGUUCGAGACCAGCCUGACCAACAUGGAGAAACUCUGUCUCUACUAAAAAUACAAAAUUAGCUGGGCAUGGUGUUGCACGCCUGUAAUCCCAGCUACUGGGGAGGCUGAGGCCGGAGAAUCACUUGAACCCGGGAAGCGGAGGUUGCCGUGAGCCAAGAUUGUGCCAUUGCACUCCAGCCUGGGCAACAAGAGCGAAACUCCAUCUCAGAAAAAAAAAAGAAUUGGCUGGGCACAAUGGCUCACACCUGUAAUCCCAGCACUGAGGCAGGUGGAUCACUUGAGGUCAGGAGUUCAAGAUCAGCUUGGCCAACAUGGUGAAACCCCCAUCUCUACUAAAAAUACAAAAAUUAGCCAGGCUAGUGUCAGGCACCUGUAAUCCUCAAGAGGCUGAGGCAGGAGAAUUGCUUGAACCCGGGAGGUAGAGGUUACAGUGAGCUGAGAUUGUGCCACUGCACUCCAGCCUGGGCGACAGCACAAGACUCCAUCUAAAAAAAAAAAAAAAAA
rnacentral:lncRNA from 1 species